AGUGAACGCUGGCGGUAGGCCUAACACAUGCAAGUCGAACGGCAGCACAGGAGAGCUUGCUCUCUAGGUGGCGAGUGGCGGACGGGUGAGGAAUACAUCGGAAUCUGCCCAGUCGUGGGGGAUAACGUAGGGAAACUUACGCUAAUACCGCAUACGACCUUCGGGUGAAAGAGGGGGAUCGCAAGACCUCUCGCGAUUGGAUGAGCCGAUGUCGGAUUAGCUAGUUAGCGGGGUAAUGGCCCACCAAGGCGACGAUCCGUAGCUGGUCUGAGAGGAUGAUCAGCCACACUGGAACUGAGACACGGUCCAGACUCCUACGGGAGGCAGCAGUGGGGAAUAUUGGACAAUGGGCGCAAGCCUGAUCCAGCCACACCGCGUGGGUGAAGAAGGCCUUCGGGUUGUAAAGCCCUUUUGUUGGGAAAGAAAUCUUUCAGGCUAAUACCCUGGGAGGAUGACGGUACCCAAAGAAUAAGCACCGGCUAACUUCGUG
rnacentral:rRNA from 1 species